CUCGCUCGUCGGUCGCGCCCGUCGCCAUCCCUUUCUUUUUCCCCGUCCGUCGCCGUCCUUUUCUUUUCCCGCAGAAGGGGUGCUUGGGAUGGGCGGAGGAGCGGAGGAGGAAGCAGGUGCGGCGGAGGAGCGGAGGAAGAGGUAAACGUGCAGCGGAGAGGGUGGGGCGCGCGUAGAGCAGGCGGGGCCCUAGGCUCCACGUGCCCACACCUCCGCUCGAAGGGCCGCUGCCCAUACACUCCAGAGAAGGAGAACGGCAACGAACGGUUCUCCGCGUAGAGGCGCUCCACCUGCUUUCUAGCUGCUGCCACCGUUCGUCGUCGUCCCCGUACCGACUCAGGGAGGAGAGGAAGGAAGAGUCAGAGAUCGGGGCGGACGAGGGAACUGUCGGCGGCCACGGUUUAUGUCGGCACCGGAGGAGAGGGCACCCCUCCGACCUAGGCCGACACCGGAGGAGAAGGCGCGCGAGGUUGUCGGGCGAACACAGGAUAAGUCUCCCCGCGUGAAUAGACGUCGAUGGUGACCGGCGCGCCACGACCGCACUUGACCGCGACGAGUCCGUCCGCCGCCGGUGGUGUGGACGAGGGUCCUGACGGACGAGGUGGAGUGCAGGAGGAGGAUCCAUUUUAGUACGGUUUUCCAAUCCUGUAGUUUAGGGGGACUUGGGAUAGAACUAGGGGAAAAGAUACGGUCUAAAUGGAGUGCGAACCGGAAAAAUCAACCUGCACACGAACGUGUACACACAAUAAACGAUCUAGACUUCACAGGAAAUGGUUUAAUCUAUCAACAAAGAAACACUAAAUCAAGUGUGCGUACUCCGACGUAGGGUAUCAAUAAGACUUUAGCUCACAAGAGGAGGGGGGGGGUAAGGACUAAGUGUUUAUGGAGAUACAUCAAAGAGAAGAAAAUCGAGCUCUCCUCUCGAACCUUAAACACAGUGACGUUACGCAUCAUGUAUAACACUAUUAAUAAAACAGCCCAUCGUAUGAUGCAUGUAUAAGACGUCGGGUCUUCUGAUAGUCGAUGUCUGUUUAACCAACCAUAUAAUCGUGACUUUAGAGCCUCUACCUCUAGGGUAACAACAAAACGAUUUUAAAUUCAGGAGUAAGGUGUCUAUGUAUCCGACUUGCUGUGAGAAUUGUUCUUCCUGGAACUUAUAACCUCUCGAACGAUAGGACAAUUGUGAAUCGUCACAUCUACAACAAGUAGUAUUCCUAUUUCACAAACCCAAACGACGAUGAAGGAAAAGACCAAGAGAUGAAAGUUGGUUAUGUAGUCAACCAGGAGUAUUAGAAUGAGGGAAAGUUAUAGAGUGACUUCGGAAUUAUUAGUUAGACACAGGGAAAGAGGACUUGACAGUAUAGACGUUCAGAAGAAAUGACAGUCUAACAAGGAAAGUAUUAAUAACACACAAAAUCUAAAAAUUAAUCUGAUUUAGUUACGGAAAAUAUCCAACAAAUGAUCUGGCCGGCCUUAACUUGACGUCUUGUGCAGUUGUGUAGUGUAUUCACAUGAACACUAGAAACGCAACACAUCUGUCAACUAGUUCAUGCCAAAGAGUACUUACAGUUGAACAACUUCUAAAAACAAAAGAUAAAACGGUUAUAAAAUAAGGUCGAAGCAGUCAUCAACAUUGUAUUCCAAUGAAGGACUUUGUUGAAUACCGAACGGGUUUGGACGUGUGUAACACUGCAGAUUGAGAAAUGUUUGACUUUAGCACUCUAUUUUUAUAGAAAUUUUUAAAGGUAACGGCUGGAAUACAAGAAUGAGCUUACACACACAACAGCAAAAAGUGUUAAUACCACAACAUUAACCAAAGGAGUAAACGAUGUGGACCUUCAUAGGGAGGCCAGUGUUGCCACUCUGUACAGGGUAUAUAAAGGGAAACAAUGAAGAUUAAGAAACAAAGUCUACGGUGCGACGAGCAAGUACCUAUACGAGACAAACCUGAUCCCUCACGCGUCAACACGGCAGAAAUAAACACUUUUUACAGAAGGCAGUUCCAAGAAAACAAGAAGUAGAGUAACGAAGGGUCGAAAGGAGACGGUUAAUAAACAAGGAAAAAAAAUACAUAAAAGACAACGGGUAAGUUAAAGCACUGUACAUCACCAAACAAAACCUCGAAGAAGGUAUCAUGGUAUACACGGUGUAUUUCAUUAAACUACCCCAAAAGAGAAAAGGACGAACAUAACAAGAACAUUUAAUCUUAUUCCUUCCUCGAAAGAGUCUUGAAACCUGAAAACUGGACAUGCACAUCAAUUAAAGUCCAAUAGGUGCCUAGUUUUUUGACUUCUUACUAUGAUUCUAAAAUGACCUGUACGGAUAUAAAACAGAAUAGUUUCGAACACAAGAAAAAAGUAGUGAUGUAUUUCGACGAACCUAGACGUAAUAAUCUUGAACGAGACGAAAAGAGGACAACAGGUCUAUCUAUAUACGAAUAAGUUCAAACCUGAACGAUAGAUUGUAAAAAGGUGACUUCCGAUACUUAACCAUGUCAUUAAUUAAAGUGAGGGUACACAUAGUACCUUGAGGAACCAGUUAUAAAGAUUAAAAGACAAGAAAGGUUAAACAAUAACGUUAAGUGGUGUAUCAAAUUAAAGAAUCUGGAGCACGUAAAAGUGUUAACUACAGAAAGAUUUUGAAUUAUGUUUUGAACUUAUAAAAUCCAUUAGCCUCACUUUAACUAUAAAUCGUAGAUAACUCUCGUAACAUGAUUUAGUACAAGUGUUUUGAAUAAUAAAAAGAUUGAAGAUGACCACCGGCACAAGAGUCUCGAGGAAUAAACCUAGAAACACCUACCCACUCGGAUAAACGAACGACAGAACGACCACAACCUCUGAACACCAAUGAUACAAAUGACUUUGCUUCUUUUUAUAUGCUCAUAGUACACGGUUCGUAAAGGAUGAAGUGGAACCGAUCGGCCAUCAAAGAUGAUCGUACUUUAGAUGUGUAUUGUCUCUAGGAUUCGUAACCUUAACAAAUGACAGGUAUUUAGUAAAAGCACCAUGAGUAAAAACAUAACAACGUAAGAUACAUACAAAAAGGUGCUUCCAACAUAGUGGAUCUCGUAUCGAAUGUUCAAUAAGUGGAUAUCGUAUCGGAUGUUCAAUAAGUAGAGUACAGCAUCUAGUAGACGAACAUUCUCCAGUACUCCAAAGUUUAAAAUAACUCGGAACUUAUAAAAUAUUUACCGUGGACGUCUUGCAGAUUUGCUUAAACGUUCACACAUGUAACCUCCAACUAAAACCUUACCCAUAUAUAAAACGGAACGUACAAAGGGAAAACUAAUCAAUGAAAGUAACGGAGGAAUUGUUAGCAAAGACGAAAAGAAAUGAAUUUUGACAAAGAGCGAGAUCCACCUUCCUAGACACCAUCCACAUGUAUCAAAUCAGUAGACCGGGUCAUUCGAGUUAGAUGUGGAAGGGGUGUUUUUUUUUCGAGUUAGAUGUGGAAUUGUGAAAAAUACUUAAAUCCUAAAGAAAAUACAUUAGACGUGUUCCCUCGAGUCUACCGACUCGUUACUAUCUAGGCCGACCUUCCACGGUUCGCAUACUCUGCCGCGUGAAGCUGUUCUAGUACCACGCCGAGUUCUUCGAGUCGACCCGAGUCGGUCCUCGUGACGCUGGGGCACAAGCAGUGCGUCUUCCAGACGCAGUCCCAUAUGUACCCGUAGUGGUGGUCGGUCGAGCUGCUCGAGCGGCGGCUCUGGCGGCGGCGCGAGUGGCGGAGGGUCGGACUGAUACGGAGGCAUGGAAGGGAGAAAGCUAUACAGAGAGGGGAAGACCAGGCAAGACAAGGGGGGAGUGCCGCGGGCACAAGCACGUUGGACCGGACUGCAUACACGCACACACCAAGAAGACGUCGAGCACCGCUCCUAACGACACAGGUUGGACGGCGGUUCACCUUUAUCAGACACACCGCGAGCAUUUAUCUCUCGUAAGACCAUGUUUCCAUGUCCUUUCUUAUUCCUUUGAAAACAGUAAAAGAAACCAGAGACCUUUUUUUUACCCACCCGACUAUGUAACGAUUUAAUGUAGUAUUUUGAGUGAAGAGAAAAAACUAAAAACCAAAUGAAGCAACACGAUGUUACCGAGAGGAUCCUUACAAUAAGGUACGAAACUACACGUGUUAGGUCUUUCACGUACGUAGGUCUUUGGUUUAUCCUAAAAAACACACAAUAGAAGAGUAUUUAGAACACGAGCAGGUUAUUCUUAUUCCUAACCACCAUAACGAAAACAGACAGUGGGCUAUCUAAAGUCUGAAGUUCCAUCGACGUCAAUAAAGUCCAAUAUACACGUUUAGGAACCACACUGUACUAACCAUUGACUGUUACUUAUGCAACGUUAGACUAUACAGAUUAAGAACUAAAUACACCAUGGUACCAGAUUUUUAACCAGGAUUUCUAUGUACUACAAAAACAUGUUUCAACUCUAUUAAUAAAACCUUGCCUCCCUCAUAAUCUAAUAAAACAAGGAAAAAUUAAACCAAGAUUUCUAUAUCAAAGUCUCACUAGUAAAACGUAGUCGGUUCGAACGGCAACAAUGUUUAUUAACAAGACAACAGGAGUUAAGUGAAAGAGACAAAAAUUACGAUAUUCGUAAUAAUAAGGUCAAAAAAAUCAAUAACUAGCACGGUAAAAAAAAGACGGAAACAUCGACUUUCUAAUUACUCUGACUGAUUUAAGACUUGUACAAGGUACACUCUCUUUAUCGUACAACUAAAGUAGAACUUUAUUAGUAUCGAUUCCCUGCUCCAAGCAUUGACUCCCAGUACACGUCUCGAACUCCUUCUUCAACGAUCAACAUUAACACUAUGAGGACUACACUUCCCGAGUCCCUAAAGUCACUCCUGUUACGGAGAAAUCAACAUUAACACUAUGAAGACUACACGUUCAUUUGUGAGGACACUAUGAGGAAUACGAUUUUACAACCAACAAUCAUGUCUCCACCACCGUAAUAAACCAAGAGACGAUAACUAAAGUACUAAACACCAAUUAUAUACUACAUUAUGUUAGGUGUAACGUAA
rnacentral:rRNA from 1 species